rnacentral:rRNA from 1 species
CCUACGGGUGGCAGCAGUGAGGAAUAUUGGUCAAUGGACGAGAGUCUGAACCAGCCAAGUAGCGUGAAGGAUGACUGCCCUAUGGGUUGUAAACUUCUUUUAUAUGGGAAUAAAAUGUUCCACGUGUGGGAUUUUGUAUGUACCAUAUGAAUAAGGAUCGGCUAACUCCGUGCCAGCAGCCGCGGUAAUACGGAGGAUCCGAGUGUUAUCCGGAUUUAUUGGGUUUAAAGGGUGCGGAGGUGGAUUGUUAAGUCAGUUGUGAAAGUUUGCGGCUCAACCGUAAAAUUGCAGUUGAAACUGGCAGUCUUGAGUACAGGAGAGGUGGGCGGAAUUCGUGGUGUAGCGGUGAAAUGCUUAGAUAUCACGAAGAACUCCGAUUGCGAAGGCAGUUCACUGGACUGCAACUGACACUGAGGCUCGAAAGUGUGGGUAUCAAACAGGAUUAGAUACCCUUGUAGUC